CAUGGGGAGUAUCCAUGUUGAGCUUGGAAAUAAGGGAUUUGAUUCUGUCAACUGAUAAUGGUUUGGUGAACAAGUCUCCCGGCUGAUCAUCCGUCUUUAGCAAGAAAGUGAACAAAAGUAGAGCUAGGAAUGACAGCAUUACACUGAUAAUCAUUCAGGAAUCAUCAUUCUAAUUCAUGAGUUUGCAGCGGAAUAGAAAUGGAAGAUGGUAGAUGAAGAAGAAGAUGAGAGGAGAGAGAGAGAGUGAUAGCCAAGAUUUGAAAAAUAUAUUAUCAUUCAAAAAAUCGU